ensembl:lncRNA
AUGACAUACAGAGACUCACAGGAUAAACAAGUUAGACAUGCAGGUGUCAUCACAAGAUCAGGUCGCAAGUGGGCAGCUGAUUCGUCUGUUGCACAAGCUGUGAGCAUGUUGAAGCUACGUGAUGUCACUGGAACGCCAUGCACAGGAAGACAGGGUCUUGGAACCUCACAUAUCCCACAGUGGAGGAAGGCAGGAACCAGUGAAAGAAGAGCCAUGAUUCAAGAGGAGGUACGGAACCUGGAAGAGGAGGGACAUAGAUCAAGGGUAGUGGACCUAGCUUCACAAGGGGCCUGGACCAGAUGGGAUCUUCCCAAGAGGAAGAUUACCUGGGCGGACCUAUGGAGACUGAAGCCGUUCCGCAUCUCCUUCCUGCUGAGGUCAGUGUAUGACACACUCCCAACCCCAACAAACCUGUACAAGUGGGGUAUGAGAGAGGACCCAUUGUGCAGGCUUUGUGGGGAGAGGGGCACCAUGGCACACAUCUUGGCCAGGUGUAAAAGAGCACUCACCCAGGGAAGGUACAGGUGCCGCCACGAUAGGGUGCUCAUGACACUCACCAACACCUUAGAGCAGGAUAGGAAAAAGAAACGCCAACCACUUCGGAAAACAAUUUCAAUCACGUUUAUAAGGGAGUGGGAAAAGCCACCAACCACAGCAACAAGAACCAGCCUGCUACAAAAGGCCCAAUCAUGGGAAAUGAAGGUCGACCUGAGAGGAAGGCUGCAAUUCCCCCAAUUUGUCCAGACAACCCUGAGGCCGGACGUGGUACUGUGGUCUAAAGAGGGAAAAAAGAUCUCCCUAAUAGAACUUACAGUCCCAUGGGAAGAGAGGUGUGAACAGGCCUUUGAAAGAAAGAGUGCCAAAUACCAAGACCUGCUGCAUGACUGUAGGGGGAAAGGAUGGCAGGCUUGGCUGUUCCCGGUCGAGGUCGGCUGUAGAGGAUUCCCUGCUCAGUCGGUGUGGAGAAUGCUCACAGGCAUUGGAAUAACAGGGAAGAAGAGGAAGGCAGCAGCUCGCAGGAUCGGGGAGGCAGCGGAAAGAGCCUCUUGCUGGUUAUGGAGCAGGAGGGAGGAGUUGAGCUGGAAGCCAGGAGGGGAAGAUGGGCAGUGA